rnacentral:rRNA from 1 species
UACAGAGGGUGCGAGCGUUAAUCGGAUUUACUGGGCGUAAAGCGUGCGUAGGCGGCUUUUUAAGUCGGAUGUGAAAUCCCCGAGCUUAACUUAGGAAUUGCAUUCGAUACUGGUCAGCUAGAGUAUGGGAGAGGAUGGUAGAAUUCCAGGUGUAGCGGUGAAAUGCGUAGAGAUCUGGAGGAAUACCGAUGGCGAAGGCAGCCAUCUGGCCUAAUACUGACGCUGAGGUACGAAAGCAUGGGGAGCAAACAGGAUUAGAUACCCUGGUAGUCCAUGCCGUAAACGAUGUCUACUAGCCGUUGGGGCCUUUGAGGCUUUAGUGGCGCAGCUAACGCGAUAAGUAAUCCACCUGGGGAGUACGCCGGCAACGGUGAA